rnacentral:lncRNA from 1 species
GCAAUGGCUGAGAAUGGCAAUGGAGAGUUUCACUCUCAGAGGAGGAUUUUGUUCUUCAGUUCUGGAGUGAUCUCUAUCACCAGUGACUAAAGAUGUUGGAGCACAGAAAGCCAUACCCCAAAAUAUGAUGCUUCGGCAUGCUGAGUGCUUUGAAAAUUGAAGGGCCUCAGAAAUAAUCCUCAGUGCCAGGGUCUCCCUCUGACCUCCCCCUACCUCCCUUUCUCUCUGAUCCUGUCUCUCCCAAAGCACAGAAUGAAGCUGUUCUCUGAAGUUCCCUUAUCUACCUAGAAACUGGACCCCCAGAGAGGAACACAAUUUGCCUUUGAUCCCUUCCCUGAAAUUUCAUUAACCAGAGAAAAUUAAAACUUCUAUCACAAAGGAAGAGACUGAACAUUAAACACCAUAGCUACAGCCCAGACAAACUUCUUCCCAAACCAUUGUUUGUUCUCCCGCCUGUUAAAUUGCCAGAGAAUUAUUCACAAGAUAAAGUCUGCCUUCUGGGUCCAUUCAUUCCCCACUAAAAAUCUUUUACUCCUACACCCUCAUGUCUCCUUCCUCCAUGAAGAAGGGUCUAUAAACCUCUAGGCCUCAUUGGGUUAUUGGGUAAUCCUUCUCAUGCAGUUCCCCUGUGCUCUGCAUGUUAAAUAAAUUUGUAUGCCUUUUUCUCCUA